ACGACAAGAGAACCGAGAUCGUCUGAAAGCGGAAUUUUACAAACGCAUCGCC
rnacentral:ribozyme from 1 species